UACGGAGGGGGCUAGCGUUGUUCGGAAUUACUGGGCGUAAAGCGCGCGUAGGCGGACCUGCAAGUCGGGGGUGAAAGCCCGAGGCUCAACCUCGGAACUGCCUUCGAUACUGCGGGUCUCGAGUCCGGGAGAGGUGAGUGGAAUUCCUAGUGUAGAGGUGAAAUUCGUAGAUAUUAGGAAGAACACCAGUGGCGAAGGCGGCUCACUGGCCCGGUACUGACGCUGAACUGCGAAAGCUAGGGGAGCGAACGGG
rnacentral:rRNA from 1 species